CUGGAAAGAAUCAUAAUUCCUCACAGGGGGUUGAUGUAAAUAUCCAUACAGGUCAGCCUGAGUCCAGUUUGAGUGAAAGGAGGCGCGCUGAGGUAAACUUAAUCCAGCUGCUGCAGCGCAGAGGCGCCAGCGGUGUGAUUGGUCGGCUUUAAAUGCAAACUAUAAAGCCAUCUUCAACAUAUCUUUCAGGAAUAAAUCUGCUCUGCCAGUGAAGCGCUCAGAGCGACAGAGACGCUUGCAAUCCGGCUUAAAAAAG